AGCUCAUUGACUGGAUUACACAACCACUAGUUUCUGAGACUACUAGCGAAAGCACAAUGAUUUGAAACAAAUGCACAAAAUGAAAGAACAUGGAGAAAAGAUUCAGCAGUUCAUGGCUGUAGGCCAGGAUGUAGAAAACAUCAACAAGCUUUGCACAUUUUAUCGUAAGAUAAACAAAGAUAUAAAAUGAGGAGACAAAACAGAGAUACACUUAUGAAUGCUUUUCAGUGGGGAUUUGUUCCCAUCUCUCUUGUCUUCAAUGGACAAUAGGAAAAACCUCAUACCUGGGAAGUAACAGCAACAGGGUUGUGACAUUAGACAACCUCAAAUCCCAAGAACAGAAAGCAGAACAGAUUCUGGCUGAAUCUGUGUUAAUUCUGAAGGUAUCAGUCAACUUCUGUAUGCACAGCCCUCCUAAUGGAAGACUAGCGAGAAACAUCAAAGAAGCAAAGUAUAUUUUGUUCCACCAUCAACUUUAACAGGGAAGAAAAACCAGAACAGAGCAGAAAAAAAAUACAUUUGGAGAAGAAAAUUGGAACCAGCUGCAAAGAUGUAAAACAUUCUUUUUUGUGUGUUUUUACUUCAUUCAGAGUUGAACUAUGUCAUCCAGCUUGGCAGCUUUGCACAAAUAAAAACAGAGUAUUCUUCCUUAUCCCUCA
rnacentral:lncRNA from 1 species